rnacentral:rRNA from 1 species
CCAGGAAAAGCCUCUAAGCAUCAGGUAACAUCAAAUCGUACCCCAAACCGACACAGGUGGUCAGGUAGAGAAUACCAAGGCGCUUGAGAGAACUCGGGUGAAGGAACUAGGCAAAAUGGUGCCGUAACUUCGGGAGAAGGCACGCUGACACGUAGGUGAAGUGAUUUACUCACGGAGCUGAAGUCAGCCGAAGAUACCAGCUGGCUGCAACUGUUUAUUAAAAACACAGCACUGUGCAAACACGAAAGUGGACGUAUACGGUGUGACGCCUGCCCGGUGCCGGAAGGUUAAUUGAUGGGGUCAGCGCAAGCGAAGCUCCUGAUCGAAGCCCCGGUAAACGGCGGCCGUAACUAUAACGGUCCUAAGGUAGCGAAAUUCCUUGUCGGGUAAGUUCCGACCUGCACGAAUGGCGUAAUGAUGGCCAGGCUGUCUCCACCCGAGACUCAGUGAAAUUGAACUCGCUGUGAAGAUGCAGUGUACCCGCGGCAAGACGGAAAGACCCCGUGAACCUUUACUAUAGCUUGACACUGAACAUUGAGCCUUGAUGUGUAGGAUAGGUGGGAGGCUUUGAAGUGUGGACGCCAGUCUGCAUGGAGCCGACCUUGAAAUACCACCCUUUAAUGUUUGAUGUUCUAACGUGGACCCGUGAUCCGGGUUGCGGACAGUGUCUGGUGGGUAGUUUGACUGGGGCGGUCUCCUCCUAAAGAGUAACGGAGGAGCACGAAGGUUGGCUAAUCCUGGUCGGACAUCAGGAGGUUAGUGCAAUGGCAUAAGCCAGCUUGACUGCGAGCGUGACGGCGCGAGCAGGUGCGAAAGCAGGUCAUAGUGAUCCGGUGGUUCUGAAUGGAAGGGCCAUCGCUCAACGGAUAAAAGGUACUCCGGGGAUAACAGGCUGAUACCGCCCAAGAGUUCAUAUCGACGGCGGUGUUUGGCACCUCGAUGUCGGCUCAUCACAUCCUGGGGCUGAAGUAGGUCCCAAGGGUAUGGCUGUUCGCCAUUUAAAGUGGUACGCGAGCUGGGUUUAGAACGUCGUGAGACAGUUCGGUCCCUAUCUGCCGUGGGCGCUGGAGAACUGAGGGGGGCUGCUCCUAGUACGAGAGGACCGGAGUGGACGCAUCACUGGUGUUCGGGUUGUCAUGCCAAUGGCACUGCCCGGUAGCUAAAUGCGGAAGAGAUAAGUGCUGAAAGCAUCUAAGCACGAAACUUGCCCCGAGAUGAGUUCUCCCUGAGACUUUAGGUCUCCUGAAGGAACGUUGAAGACGACGACGUUGAUAGGCCGGGUGUGUAAGCGCAGCGAUGCGUUGAGCUAACCGGUACUAAUGAACCGUGAGGCUUAACCUUACAACGCCGAAG